UAGAUUAAGGCCUAAGUUUAGGUGUUUAGCUGUUAACUAAAAGAUUGUAGGAUAAAGCCUUCUAAUCUAG
rnacentral:tRNA from 1 species